rnacentral:rRNA from 1 species
CAAUAGCGUAUAUUAAAGUUGUUGCGGUUAAAAAGCUCGUAGUUGGAUUUCUGUCGAGUCCGGGUGGUCCGUACUUACGUGCGUGUAUCACUUGGUCUUGGCAUCCUCUUGGCUAACGGCGCUGUGCUUCAUUGUAUAGGCCGGGAUUCAAGACUUUUACUUUGAGGAAAUUAGAGUGUUCACGGCAAGCUAUCGCAUGAAUACAUUAGCAUGGAAUAAUAAUAUAGGGCGUAUGCUUUAUUUUGUUGGUUUCUAAGGUUUACGCAAUGAUUAAUAGGGAUAAUUGGGGGCAUUCGUAUUAACGCGUCAGAGGUGGAAUUCUUAGAUUGCGUUACGACGAACUACUGCGAAAGCAUUUGCCAAGGAUGUUUUCAUUGAUCAAGAACGAAAGUAUGGGGAUCGAAGACGAUCAGAUACCAU